GUGGGGAAUUUUGGACAAUGGGCGCAAGCCUGAUCCAGCAAUGCCGCGUGCAGGAAGAAGGCCUUCGGGUUGUAAACUGCUUUUGUACGGAACGAAACGGUCCGGGUUAAUACCCUGGGCUAAUGACGGUACCGUAAGAAUAAGCACCGGCUAACUACGUGCCAGCAGCCGCGGUAAUACGUAGGGUGCAAGCGUUAAUCGGAAUUACUGGGCGUAAAGCGUGCGCAGGCGGUUUUGUAAGACAGGCGUGAAAUCCCCGGGCUCAACCUGGGAAUUGCGCUUGGGACUGCAAGGCUGGAGUGCGGCAGAGGGGGAUGGAAUUCCGCGUGUAGCAGUGAAAUGCGUAGAUAUGCGGAGGAACACCGAUGGCGAAGGCAAUCCCCUGGGCCUGCACUGACGCUCAUGCACGAAAGCGUGGGGAGCAAACAGGAUUAGAUACCCGGGUAGUCC
rnacentral:rRNA from 1 species